CCUACGGGUGGCUGCAGUGGGGAAUAUUGCACAAUGGGCGCAAGCCUGAUGCAGCCAUGCCGCGUGUGUGAAGAAGGCCUUCGGGUUGUAAAGCACUUUCAGCGGGGAGGAAGGCGGUGAGGUUAAUAACCUCAUCGAUUGACGUUACCCGCAGAAGAAGCACCGGCUAACCCCGUGCCAGCAGCCGCGGUAAUACGGAGGGUGCAAGCGUUAAUCGGAAUUACUGGGCGUAAAGCGCACGCAGGCGGUCUGUCAAGUCGGAUGUGAAAUCCCCGGGCUCAACCUGGGAACUGCAUUCGAAACUGGCAGGCUAGAGUCUUGUAGAGGGGGGUAGAAUUCCAGGUGUAGCGGUGAAAUGCGUAGAGAUCUGGAGGAAUACCGGUGGCGAAGGCGGCCCCCUGGACAAAGACUGACGCUCAGGUGCGAAAGCGUGGGGAGCAAACAGGAUUAGAUACCCGGGUAGUC
rnacentral:rRNA from 1 species